rnacentral:rRNA from 1 species
UUUAUGGAGAGUUUGAUCCUGGCUCAGGAUGAACGCUGGCGGCGUGCCUAAUACAUGCAAGUCGAGCGAACGGACGAGAAGCUUGCUUCUCUGAUGUUAGCGGCGGACGGGUGAGUAACACGUGGAUAACCUACCUAUAAGACUGGGAUAACUUCGGGAAACCGGAGCUAAUACCGGAUAAUAUUUUGAACCGCAUGGUUCAAAAGUGAAAGACGGUCUUGCUGUCACUUAUAGAUGGAUCCGCGCUGCAUUAGCUAGUUGGUGAGGUAACGGCUUACCAAGGCAACGAUGCAUAGCCGACCUGAGAGGGUGAUCGGCCACACUGGAACUGAGACACGGUCCAGACUCCUACGGGAGGCAGCAGUAGGGAAUCUUCCGCAAUGGGCGAAAGCCUGACGGAGCAACGCCGCGUGAGUGAUGAAGGUCUUCGGAUCGUAAAACUCUGUUAUUAGGGAAGAACAUAUGUGUAAGUAACUGUGCACAUCUUGACGGUACCUAAUCAGAAAGCCACGGCUAACUACGUGCCAGCAGCCGCGGUAAUACGUAGGUGGCAAGCGUUAUCCGGAAUUAUUGGGCGUAAAGCGCGCGUAGGCGGUUUUUUAAGUCUGAUGUGAAAGCCCACGGCUCAACCGUGGAGGGUCAUUGGAAACUGGAAAACUUGAGUGCAGAAGAGGAAAGUGGAAUUCCAUGUGUAGCGGUGAAAUGCGCAGAGAUAUGGAGGAACACCAGUGGCGAAGGCGACUUUCUGGUCUGUAACUGACGCUGAUGUGCGAAAGCGUGGGGAUCAAACAGGAUUAGAUACCCUGGUAGUCCACGCCGUAAACGAUGAGUGCUAAGUGUUAGGGGGUUUCCGCCCCUUAGUGCUGCAGCUAACGCAUUAAGCACUCCGCCUGGGGAGUACGACCGCAAGGUUGAAACUCAAAGGAAUUGACGGGGACCCGCACAAGCGGUGGAGCAUGUGGUUUAAUUCGAAGCAACGCGAAGAACCUUACCAAAUCUUGACAUCCUUUGACAACUCUAGAGAUAGAGCCUUCCCCUUCGGGGGACAAAGUGACAGGUGGUGCAUGGUUGUCGUCAGCUCGUGUCGUGAGAUGUUGGGUUAAGUCCCGCAACGAGCGCAACCCUUAAGCUUAGUUGCCAUCAUUAAGUUGGGCACUCUAAGUUGACUGCCGGUGACAAACCGGAGGAAGGUGGGGAUGACGUCAAAUCAUCAUGCCCCUUAUGAUUUGGGCUACACACGUGCUACAAUGGACAAUACAAAGGGCAGCGAAACCGCGAGGUCAAGCAAAUCCCAUAAAGUUGUUCUCAGUUCGGAUUGUAGUCUGCAACUCGACUACAUGAAGCUGGAAUCGCUAGUAAUCGUAGAUCAGCAUGCUACGGUGAAUACGUUCCCGGGUCUUGUACACACCGCCCGUCACACCACGAGAGUUUGUAACACCCGAAGCCGGUGGAGUAACCUUUUAGGAGCUAGCCGUCGAAGGUGGGACAAAUGAUUGGGGUGAAGUCGUAACAAGGUAGCCGUAUCGGAAGGUGCGGCUGGAUCACCUCCUUU